UGGGAACAUUCUGUAUUAAUUUUUAUUAGCAAACACAGUAUGCAAAUGGAAAGCAGCGUGAUGCACUAGGUCAGGGUACCAGCAGAUGUGCUCAGUUUCUGUCACAGCACCCUCUUUGUUCACUUUCAAAGUGUGACAGUUCCUCCUGACCUCAUUAAGUUGUUGGUAAGAGAAAUACAUUUAAAGAUUGUGAGGAAUUGAAUGGGAGAUACAAAUACUUAAGAAGUAGAAUGCAAGUGGUAAUUGAUGAUGUGUAAUGUCAGUGGAGUUACAAGCAGUGCACAUAGGCUGUAUUUUGUUAUUUCUCCUUGUCGAUCAAAUGUGAUGAAUCAUAAAAUCCAUGGAGAUUAAGCCUCUAAAUCAGAUUCCUUAAGGCAGACGUGCUGUGGAAUACUCUGAAAUUUAUGAGGUUCUCUUAGCUGCUGGCCCAUGGAAAGGUUAAAUCUGAUGAUUACAGGAUGUGGUCAUGCUGAUUUCAUGCUCGUUUACUUCCAAAUUAUAGCCAUAUAGUCUUCAGAAUGAAAGAAAACCAGCCUGUAUUAUCCUGGGGACAAAUGCAAUCAAUUGCCAACAAUGUCUUAUAAACAGCUGUCACGGUUUAUAGGAGUUUUCUGGUAACUGAUGUAUGUAUUGAUUUAAAACAUUUCCUAGCCUUGCUAGGGAAGAAGGGUCUCCAGUGUGAACUGAACGGCACGAUGCACUCAUGCAGAAUUACUCAUGGAUAUUAAUUUUUGAAGUAUUUGAAGCCCAAGACCUGCAGUGAGUUCUGCCUGUGAGCACAAGUCUAUCAGUGUGAUUCAGAAUGAAGGCAUUAAUUGGGUGUGACAAAGCAGAGUUGUGUCUGGACAAGCAGCAAACUAGAUGCCAACUCCAUUUCGUGAAGCAGAGAUGACGUGGGAGGUCUGCUGUGUCUGCACCGAGCCCUGUUAGCUCCACACACACAGCAGGGUGGUGGGCACCCGCUCCAGGACUGGAGCUGUGGUUUGCAACCCCAAACCGAGGGGACUGUGGUACACAAGUGACAAGAAGAGUGGCGACAACCUGUGCCGUGCCACAACACCUCAUCGUGAGGCUGUCUCCGGCUCUUAAAGCCUUAUGAAGUAAGUUGUUCACCACUGGCUUAAUGAGAGACAAUUAAUUCUCAUUGCUUAUUGUCGAUAACAAAUGUGGCAAGCUCUGCCCUGAAGCAACCAUAGUUAUUAACGCUGACUGUUUAAACUAUGAAUAGAUACAGAUGAUUAACCAUGCCUCUGAAAGAACCAAGAAACACACGUUCUUUGAUCACCAAGUCUGUACGAGCGAACGGCACUGUAAUGGGUUUGGAGAGAUGUGAGAGAAGUUAAUGCUAUGAUACUGCUGUAGACACUUUCUCCACACGCACCUUGAUAGCUCAGUGGUUGGUAGGAACAAGAACAUUACAUUUCACUUCGCUUUGGGGUGUGUUUAUAUGAGUAAGAUCAAAGAUAUAUUGUACAGAUCAAAGAUAUAUUAAAAAAAUCAGAAACUUU
rnacentral:lncRNA from 1 species